AGCGGCCCGCCCGCCCGCCGUCCCGGAUGCCGCCGCAGUCGGGGCUUCCGGCUCGAGCCGGAAGCGCUCGCGCCCCGCCCCGCAGGGCCUGCCCCCUGGUGACGUCAGGGAGCCCCGACGGCCGGCUCACCUGCCGGCGCGAGCGAGCUCCAGACGGCCGAAGUGGGACCCGAGCCGAGGCUGCGGCCCGGCCCCCGGCGUCGGCCUCCGUCGGGCUUGGCGGCCUUUGCGGUUGGCAUUCUCGGCCCUGGAGCCCCGUCGCCUUCUCGCCCCAUCGAUCUCUCCUCGUGCGCCGCAGGAACGCCGCGGUCCGCCAUCGAUCGCCGCCUCGCGCGGCCUCCGGCUGUCCAGCCUGGCCCUCGGCACACGGACGCAGACCAGAGCUCUGGGUCCACGGAUUCCAGGAGGGAUAUCAUUUGAACAAAGGGUUCCUUAAGCAUGAAUCUGGAAACCACUGGACGCACAGAGACUUCGUCCUCUGGACUCGUUCCUCCUGUGGCCCGUGGACAGAAAGUCGUCUUCUAGGUGAAACGGCAGGAGGGACCGCAGAAGCAGUAACAGAGCAGCAUGAAGCCAGACAGGACUCAGGUCUACACCCUACCCUUGGGUAAAUGAAGCCGCGUACAACAUUUACAGAACAGUUGGGAGACAUGAAAGUUCACUGGUAAAGGACAGAAUUCUGGAAGAGCACAGACCAAAAAACAUCAGCAUGAGUUAUCUUUGGGUGGUGGAAUUAUAGGCAAUGCUAUCCUUUUUUUUUUUUUAAUUGAUGUUCCAGUUUCUCUCCAAUGAAUGUGUCCUAGUCAUGUAAUGUUUACCUAUUUUUGAAUAAAUAAGAUAAACCAUGAGCA
rnacentral:lncRNA from 1 species